UACAGAGGUCCCGAGCGUUGUUCGGAUUCACUGGGCGUAAAGGGUGCGUAGGUGGUGAGGUAAGUCGGAUGUGAAAGCUCCAAGCUCAACUUGGAAAUGGCAUUGGAAACUACCUUGCUAGAGGGUUUGAGGGGGGACUGGAAUACUUGGUGUAGCAGUGAAAUGCGUAGAUAUCAAGUGGAACACCAGUGGCGAAGGCGAGUCCCUGGAAAACUCCUGACACUGAGGCGCGAAAGCUAGGGGAGCAAACAGG
rnacentral:rRNA from 1 species